rnacentral:lncRNA from 1 species
CACGACCCGAGCAGUCACACAGGACCCUGUGAUCAGAAUGGCCUCACUUGGGUUUAAUACUCUGCUGUCUUCAUCUUAAAAUUCUUAAUAAUUUAAUGUUUGAGCCCGUGCUUUGUAAGUGAAGUCUGAUGGAACAACGGAGCAUGCGCGUGAGUAGAGGAGAUACAGACGAUACGUGUGUCUGAGUUUUUUGUGGCUCCAUUAGCAUAUGGUGUUGAUGAUGCCCCCUGAGCACAGAAUUCUGGUGAGCCCACAAUGCAUGGGAGUUCAGCGAGAUUCAAUGCCAGUACAAGUGGGCCUCUCAAGUUGUGAAGCCAGCUGUGACCAUGCCACUUCCCCCACUGAGGGAUGGAGUCUAUUCCUCUGCCUCUUGAAUCUAGUCUGGCCUAUGACUACUUUAACCAGUAGAAUUCCAUAGAAAAGGACUAUGUCAGUUGCACACUUCACCUUGAAGAGGACUGGAGGUUUUCACUUCCUGCCUCUUGGAGCCCUGAGCCAGCAUGAAUAAAGUCUAGGCUACUCUGCUGGAGAGAGGGACAUAAGGGUGUCAGACGUGUAAGGGAAGAAGCCACCUCACACACCUCAGCCCUAGCUGCCUUCUAACUGCAACCACCUGAGAGACCCCAGGCAAAAACCACCCAGCCAAGCUCUGUUGACCAACAGAAUCAUGAGAGAUAAUAAGAAAUAACAAUUAUGUAAUGCCACUAAGCUUCAAGAU